AGACAAUCUCGGUUCUCUCCCUCGUAGGCUCUGAGGGAUCACCUCAGGUGUUAGAUACCCUGGAACUGGAAUUACCGUUAUGAGCUGACAUGUGGGUACUAGGAAUUGGAUCUGGAAUUGGAAGAGCAGCCAGUGCUCUUAACUGAUAAGCCAUCUCUCCAGCCUGGAACAUGAACUUUUAAAAAAGGAAUUAAGGGAACACGUAUUUACUGAAGUCCAGGUACCAGGUUUUCAUGGCCUAGGAUUAAGAGCAUGCUAUUAGGAGCCUCAAUGGAACCAUGAGAUAAAAUACAGUGCUGAUAUUAAAGUGUGUACCACCACUGCCUGGUCUCUAUGGAUAACCAGUGUGGCUUUGCACUUUGAUCUUCAGCCUCUGCACCAGCUCCUGCCUCCAGGUUCCUGUCCUAACUUCCUCCAAGGAUGGACAAUGAUGUCCACCCAGGGAUCCAACCUGUGGGAUGGUGCUGUGCACAUUCAGAUGGAUCUUUCCUUCUUAGUCAAGCAUCUCUGGAAACAUGCCCCGAACGGAUGUGGCCAGGGGUGUGUCUCCUAGGUGACUCAGUCUUGCCAAGCUGACAAUGAACUUCAACCAUCAAAGCCACGUUCUGAAAACAUCAGUAUUGAAACAUACCAAAGUUCCAUUUCUUCAAGGUUUUGACAAAAUAUCAUUAAAUAUUAUUAAGUUAUUGGCCACUCAUGACUGGACUCAACCUCUAGCCCCUCCCUUUCUUUUCCUUAUAGGUUGGGCUUCGGUACUUUGAAUUAAGAAUGGCCCCCCAAAAGCUCAUAUAUUUAAAUGCUUGAUCAUUAAGGAGUGGCACUACUUGAGAAAGA
rnacentral:lncRNA from 1 species